GCACAAUGGGCGCAAGCCUGAUGCACCUUUUCCGCGUGGGGGAUGGAGGCUUUCGGGUUGUAAACCCCUUUCGGCGCGGGACAAGGCUCCGUUUGGCGGGGUUGAGGGUACGCGUCAAAGAAGCGCCGGCUAACUACGUGCCAGCAGCCGCGGUAAUACGUAGGGCGCGAGCGUUGUCCGGAAUUAUUGGGCGUAAAGGGCUCGUAGGCGGCUUGUCGCGUCUGCUGUGAAAACGCGGGGCUCAACUCCGCGCGUGCAGUGGGUACGGGCAGGCUGGAGUGCGGCAGGGGUGGCUGGAAUUCCUGGUGUAGCGGUGGAAUGCGCAGAUAUCAGGAAGAACACCGAUGGCGAAGGCAGGCCACUGGGCCGUCACUGACGCUGAGGAGCGAAAGCGUGGGGAGCGAACAGGAUUAGAUACCCUGGUAGUCCACGCUGUAAACGUUGGGGACUAGGUGUGGGGUCUGUUCCACGGAUUCUGCGCCGGAGCUAACGCGUUAAGUUCCCCGCCUGGGGAGUACGGCCGCAAGGCUAAAACUCAAAGGAAUUGACGGAA
rnacentral:rRNA from 1 species